UGUCUUGUAAUUGGAAUGAUGGGAAUUUAAACCUCUUCCAGAGUAUCAAUUGGAGGGCAAGUCUGGUGCCAGCAGCCGCGGUAAUUCCAGCUCCAAUAGCGUAUAUUAAAAUUGUUGCAGUUAAAAAGCUCGUAGUUGAAUUUCUGCUGCAUUGCUUUUGCUCCUUUACGAGUCUUUGCAUUGUGGCUUAUUUCGGACUUUGUUUUACAAUGUCCGGAUGUUUACUUUGAGAAAAUUAGAGUGCUCAAAGCAGGCUUUCGCCUUGAAUAGUUUAGCAUGGAAUAAUAAAGUAGGACUUUGGUUCUAUUUUGUUGGUUUUAGGUACCAAAGUAAUGGUUAAUAGGAACAGUUGGGGGCAUUCGUAUUUAACUGUCAGAGGUGAAAUUCUUAGAUUUGUUAAAGACGAACUACUGCGAAAGCAUUUGCCAAGGAUGUUUUCAUUAAUCAAGAACGAAAGUUAGGGGAUCGAAGACGAUCAGAUACCGUCGUAGUCCUAACCA
rnacentral:rRNA from 1 species